ACAGGGAUUGCCUUAGUAACGGCGAGUGAAGCGGCAACAGCUCAAAUUUGAAAUCUGGCGUCUUUGGCGUCCGAGUUGUAAUUUGCAGAGGGCGCUUUGGCAUUGGCAGCGGUCCAAGUUCCUUGGAACAGGACGUCACAGAGGGUGAGAAUCCCGUACGUGGUCGCUAGCCUUUACCGUGUAAAGCCCCUUCGACGAGUCGAGUUGUUUGGGAAUGCAGCUCUAAAUGGGAGGUAAAUUUCUUCUAAAGCUAAAUACUGGCCAGAGACCGAUAGCGCACAAGUAGAGUGAUCGAAAGAUGAAAAGCACUUUGGAAAGAGAGUUAAAAAGCACGUGAAAUUGUUGAAAGGGAAGCGCUUGCAGCCAGACUUGCCUGUAGUUGCUCAUCCGGGUUUUUACCCGGUGCACUCUUCUACAGGCAGGCCAGCAUCAGUUUGGGCGGUUGGAUAAAGGUCUCUGUCAUGUACCUCUCUUCGGGGAGAACUUAUAGGGGAGACGACAUGCAACCAGCCUGGACUGAGGUCCGCGCAUCUGCUAGGAUGCUGGCGUAAUGGCUGUAAGCGGCCCGUCUUGAAACACGGACCAAGGAGUCUAACAUCUAUGCGAGUGUUUGGGUGUCAAGCCCGAGCGCGUAAUGAAAGUGAACGGAGGUGGGAACCUUUCGGGGUGCACCAUCGACCGAUCCUGAUGUCUUCGGAUGGAUUUGAGUAAGAGCAUAGCUGUUGGGACCCGAAAGAUGGUGAACUAUGCUUGAAUAGGGUGAAGCCAGAGGAAACUCUGGUGGAGGCUCGCAGCGGUUCUGACGUGCAAAUCGAUCGUCAAAUUUGGGCAUAGGGGCGAAAGACUAAUCGAACUAUCUAGUAGCUGGU
rnacentral:rRNA from 1 species